AAACAUGGCAAGGUCGAACGAGAAACGGGUCUAGCUUGCUAGAUUGCAGUCUAAGCUGGNCGGACGGGUGAGUAAUGUAUAGCUAAUGUGCCCCAUGCGNAGGGGGAUAACAGUUGGAAACGGCUGCUAAUACCCCAUACUCCUUCUAUGUUAAUCAUAGUUGGGAAAGUUUUUUCGCCAUGGGAUCAGGCUAUAUGGUAUCAGUUAGUUGGUGAGGUAAUGGCUCACCAAGACAAUGACGCCUAACUGGUCUGAGAGGAUGAUCAGUCACACUGGAACUGAGACACGGUCCAGACUCCUACGGGAGGCAGCAGUGGGGAAUAUUACACAAUGGAGGAAACUCUGAUGUAGCAACGCCGCGUGGAGGAUGACACAUUUCGGUGCGUAAACUCCUUUUAUAUGGGAAGAUAAUGACGGUACCAUAUGAAUAAGCACCGGCUAACUCCGUGCCAGCAGCCGCGGUAAUACGGAGGGUGCAAGCGUUACUCGGAAUCACUGGGCGUAAAGCGCGCGCAGGCGGGUUUGUAAGUUGGAUGAGAAAUCCUAUGGCUUAACCAUAGAACUGCAUCCAAAACUACUUACCUAGAGUCUGGGAGGGGAAGAUGGAAUUAGUGGUGUAGGGGUAAAAUGCGUANAGAUCACUANGAAUACCAAAAGCNAAGGCNAUNUUCUGGAACANUNCUGACGCUGANGCNCNUAAAGCNUGGGGAGCAAACAGGAUUAGAUACCCUGGNUANUCCACGCCCUAAACCUAUGAAUGUUAGNCCNUCGGUNAGCCNAGUCNUAAUCNGUGAUNCANCUAACGCANUNAAACAUUCCCGCC
rnacentral:rRNA from 1 species